GUGUUUUCUCAGAAAGUCAGGUGAGUUGGAGUCCCAUUUCUAGUGAGUCGUUGGAUCGACUUGGUCUGAAUUCACAAUGAAAAUAUUUUUGUCAUGCGUGCUGCUGUGUGCCACCAUCUGCUUAGCUGACAGAGGUGUUCAAAAUGGCAUGAGAGCAGCAGAAGGAUCCAAGCCAGUGUCCCUUCAGCCCUGGCUACUCGGCCUGACAGCUGUUGUGGGUUUCCUUCUCCUUGUCUUCAUUAUUCUGGUUAUUCAAAGACUACUUAAGAAAAGGGAGGAUGGUUAUGACGAGCCAGCAGGGGCGGAUGGAGUUGAAAUUCAUCAAACCAGUCUGUAGCUGUUCAUGACCAACUGAAGAGCACGAUUCUGCUAAAUCACACUCACUCACUUGUUUUUAUUUAAUAAAGUUAUCAUGGUCAUAUUUAGUGAAUAUUGCUAUAAAUCGAGUUUUUAAGUUGGUGGUUGAGCAAAUAUCAGAAAAUAUCAGCAAAGACAAAAAGCGUUUCUGCACUUUUUCUCGCAAAACAUGUCUGUGAGCUAAAUAAAGAGUUGCUGCAUUUUCCAGCGAGAGGAAAAAAUCAUUCAUGUGCAAAACUGACAGAUGGAGAAAGAUGUAAGAAAGACAGGAAACUGGAGGAAGGUGAGAUUAUUUGCAAAGCCAAGAACUGUUCUGGAAAACUGGAAAUUUAAAUCCUACAUGUAGUGUCUUAAUUCAUUUUAGAGUUAUUUUAUAUCAAAUAUUUGAUCAAUAUAGAAUCUGUUGCUGAAUUAUAAAUUAUGUUAAACAUUUUACAAAACAAAUUAAGUUUUGAUUUGUGUUGUAUUUGCAACAUCAGGCAUUUAUUUACAUUUUGCUCUUUAAAAAUAAAUGUUGCAAUUUACUUUGGGUUUUUUCUUUGCAAAUAAAAUAAAACAAAAUAUGAUAUAUUUAGUUUUAAAGGUUAUGUUUACAAUGAUGCACUAGGUCUGGUUGGUUACUGGUUUAUUGGUUAACCAGAGCUACUGGAGCUCACACCUGACGUACCAAAUCCCAGAAUAAAUGAAAGAAGAAGAA